rnacentral:lncRNA from 1 species
UGCACCAUAAAACAUAGGCCAACAUACAACAAAUGCUCUAAGAGGCAUUUUGACAAACAAUACAUAGACAAAUCAUUCUGGUUAUUUCUAAUCUCAAUGGCUUAUACUCUUCACUUUUUAAACACCAAAAUUGAAAUAGAACUUUCACAAAAAUAGCCAAAAUCCAAACUUAUAAUUUCUGAUGCCCAUGAAUCUGCAUCCAUUAAACUGCCGCUAAAUUAUUUUGCCUAUGAUUUCUCACAAUAGGGACUUCUCCACAAAGGCAUAAUAUUCCUUCCACAAUUUGGGGAUGUCUUGAUGAAUGAAGCAUCUCCAAGAGAAAGAUGAAGAUUUGGGGUUAGAGUUAGGAUUUGGGAGUGAUUCUCUA